UUUAGAAUUUUAGUGCUUUUUUUUUAAAGAUUUAUUUAUUUAUUUGAAAGUCAGAGUUACACAGAGAGAGGAGAGGCAGAGAGAGAGGUCUUCCACCUGAUGGUUCACUCCCCAGUUGGCCACAAUGGCCGGAGCUGCACCAAUCCAAAGCCAGGAGCCAGGAGCCUUACAGGUCUCCAAUGCAGGUGCAGGGGCCCAAGGACUUGGAGGAUGACUCUGCCUGUCAAAAAAACAAAACAAAAAAAAAAAAAAACUUCUGAAGUGUGUAGACAGUAUAUAGAGUAUGUAUAAUCAACUGGACUCUGACAAAUCCAACCGAAAGUAACCAUCAUCAUUAAGAAAUGCUUCCAGGUUUGAAUGCUGGCUUUGCCACUGUUUAGCAAUAGUAUGUUGGGUAAUAUUCAUUCUUCUUCACCUGGAAACUGAUAACAAUAAUAGUAUCUAGUGCUUAAGCAAAAAUGAAUUGGGACAACACAUUUUAAAACACUAAUAGCCAUGUCUAAUAUAUAAUGACUAAAUGAAUACUAUUUUACCAUUUUUACUACUACUGUGCUAUCAGAUUGUAUCCAGUGGGCUACACUUGAGUUCCCCUACUCUGAGCUUAUGAGCCCAAUCAACAACACAUCAUGCAGCUGCAGAGACUUGAUGUCUCCUGUAUCCCUCCCUAGAGUGCUCUAGACCCCAUAUAGGACAAUACAUGGGUGAGUGCAUGGGAGAGAGUUGCCAGUGAACAUACAGCAGUCAGAAGACCCUCUGCCUUAGAGAACAGUGGUUUAUAUAGCACAAAGUGGUCUGAAAGGGCUUGGAGAUCUGAGCUAAUGCUGGGCUGAUGAGAAAGAGGGAGAGUUUGGGCUAGAUUUCAGGGUCACUUGAGAUAACAGUGUGAGCUGGAAGAGGUUCAGGCUGAGGCUGGACUGUGAGGCUGAGCUGCUGAGAUAUGGGGAGAUAGCUUGAGAGGAGGGAGAGAGAUCUCGGGCUGACAGCAGGAGUCUUCUGAUAGUAAUGUGUCCAAAAGUCAAGGCAGGAGAGGCCUGGUUAAAGUAGGCUGGAGCUGUAUUGGCAAGACAGAAAAACAGGGGCUUGCUUGUUGUUAUGUGAGAGGUCAACAUGAAUGCAAUGCUUUUUGUCCUUGCUGCAUCACUGUGUAUGAUAAAGGCAGAAUAAAGCAUGCUUUGAUGAAGGCGAUUUCUGGUAGAAAUGCUACAAUAAAAAUUUAUCCAUUCACAAUCUGCUGCCGUUCAGAUAGAUUUCACUCUUUAGUUAAAGGUAUUCAUGUUUGGUGCCUUUUAGCUGGGAAUCUGAGGAAAUAGCCAACAAGGGUAAAUGCCAUGAGUGGCCAUAGAUUCUAGUAGAGACAACAAUGUGCACCACCAGUGAAAAAAUCUAGCUCUAAUUACAGAACUCCAAAUCCCCAAUGAGGGGCCACACAUUUAGCAUCUUUCAAGUUCAUAAGGUUGUACUUAUAUUUUGCAAGAAUUCUCAGUUAAGCCUCAAGCUAUGUGUAUGUUUUAACUAGAUAUCAUUUGCUAUACCUUUUGCAGGAAACACAAACAAUUAGCCACAUUGGGCCCUUCACUCACAACUUCCAACAUCACUACUACCUUCAAUUCUGACUUAAGAAGAGGUCAGUUGCUUACCUUGGUGUGCAUCUUGGGAAAGGGGCAACAGGGAUGUAUUAUUUGCUGUCUCUGCUCCAUUUCCAGCCUGCAAAUUUUCUCCUCUUUUCUAGUUGUCCCAGGUAAGAAGUCAGAUUGCUUCACUUGCUCACCUGUCUGCCUUGCAAACUCCAUGCCCCACUCUCCCUCUGUCAGACCCUCAUUCAGAUCAUGCACUGCAGUGACCACAUUGGCCAGCAUCCAACAUUGCAGAUACUGUUGGCACUAGGACCCACAACCUGCCUACAUUAACCAGAAUCUCAUCUGGCAACUUCAUACUGUCACCCCUCUCCCACGUUGUUGUAGGUCAGAGGAGCAUAAAUGGAAAGACAUGGGGUUAGGAGACCAGCUCACCUUCCCAGGGCUAUCCCUGUCACAUCAACCCCUAAAAGUGUUAUUGCUAUAGCAACUCUCCAACCUUGAAGCUAGUGCUUCAGACUUCCUCUGACUGUAGGUUCCCAUGUAUCCCCUGGCCUCAGCAGGCACUCCAGAUGCUGAUUUGGUCCAUGCUUACUGAAGUGCUGGCGAGGCAGAGGUAGGACUAGCUCAAACUCCUGCCUAUCACUCAUUCUUUGUGUUCAACAGCUGAAACCAGCACCAUGAGUCCACAAAUAUCUUCAUGCCUUCUGUGCCCUGCCUACCCUGUUGGCAAAUGUGCAAUGAGGCCAGCCUCUGAGACUUCUGCUGUAUCCUUGGACAAAUGGGUUCUAGUAGGGUGGGGCUUUUUCUCCUCAAAUGGUUUUGAAAGUGUCAAGAAAGUGCUUGCCCACCUCUAGUCUUAGGGGAUAUGUCAUUUUCUGGGAGCUUAUACUCAGGAGAUUGGCAGCUGGGCACUUCUGAGCCAUGGAAGGGAUUAUUUAUUUAUUUAUUUAUUUUGCUUUUUUUAAAAAAUUAUUUUAUUUAUUUGAAAGACAGAGUUACAGAGAGAGGUAGAGACAGAGAGAGAGGUCUUCCAUGCAAUGAUUCACUUCCCAGAUGGCCUCAAUGGCUGGAGCUGCACCACCUGGAGCUGCACUGAUCUGAAGCCAGGAGCCAGGAGCUUCUUCCAGUUCUCUCACGUGGGUGCAGGAGCCCAAGGACUCAGGCCAUCUUCUACUGCUUUCCCAGGUCAUAGCAGAGAGCUGGAUCAGAAGAGAACCAUCCAGGACUUGAACCAGUGCCCAUAUGGGAUGCCGGCGCUUCAGGCCAGAGCUUUAACCUGCUGCGCCACAGCACCAGCUCCUAUUUAUUUUGAUUUUUAAGAAGGACUCUUAGGUUGAGUGUGACCAAAAUCCCCUGCCUCAAUUUUCUCAUAUUGUAGUAUACCCCUAAGGUGAAUAUUGACUCAUAAGAUGAGUCUUCUAUUUAGUUGACACCUCAAGAUUCUGUUCAUUCAAUAAGUCAUUAUCAUCUGCCCUCUGUUGGUAUGUGGGAGAUCUGGUGGCAGAAGAGUUUAAUGCAAAAAGAAAAUAAAAGAGCCUUCCUAUGAAUGAGGAAACCUCAGGGUAAAAUGAUUCUGGCCUCAAAUGCAGGACCUCCCACUGUCCCUCUGGCCAACCACAGCCAGAGAUGAGCUUCUCUUGUUAUGCAUCUCUACAGACAUGAGCAGCAAGAUAGAAGCUAGGACAUCUCAGCCUGGUACAGGUUAAUGACAGUUUGACAGCCUCCCAGUCAGGAUCCACUCUCUGGCCUCAGCUGCAGUUACCAAGCCUCUGCCUAUCACCUGCCUAUUUUCUUUUCAGACAACUGUGUCAUUUCUGGGCUCUGCUUCCUCUGAGAUUUGAUCUUAACCCAAUUGUUCUUACCUGACAUGGAUGUGAAAUUCACAAAUGAUGCAGUGAUUCUAUUGUGCACCUAACCUUUUAUCACACUGUUUUGUAAUUGUCUAGGUCUUUGUCAUCUGUCCCCCAGGACUGAAGUGUCUUUAGGGUAAGCACUAUAUUCACAUCAUUCAGGUUGUACCAGUUAUACCCAGGAGAGUACCAGGCAUAAUGCAGACAAAUCAUCCCUGUCUCCCUUCCUCCUCUGCUCCUUAUGCCCAUAGUGUUAGAUGCUCUUGGCUUUCUCCUUCCCCUCCACACCUCCCUCUGCACACUACUACCACAUUUAGACCCCCCACACACCAUGCUCCUCUACCCCCUCUGACCCCAUGUGCUCUCCAGUUCCAGUAGCUCCAAACAGAAAGAAAGAUAUAGCAAGUGAGGCUUAGUUGUACCCAUAAAGCCAAGCUCCUGUGCUCCAUUAUCACUAGAUGAAUUGUGGAUGUUGGCCUUGAAUGUGUUGAUUCUGCUCAGUUCUGAUGGCCCCUGACAACUCAGAGCAUGGUAGUCUCUCAGAAAUCAAAAUGCCUGCCUGCAUAUUGCAUUCAGCUAGGGGCCACAGAGCUCUGCAUCACUGUUCUUGGAGCCCUUUCCACUUAUUCACAGUUCACACCUACUGCUUUCUUCUUCUCUUUGUGCCCAUUCAUGCCUGCCAGAGUUGCCAGUUUAUGAGCUAGUUUAAGAGCCAUGAUGCUGAGCCAGAGGCACAACACCUCGCUUGGACUUUAUAAUGCAUAUUUUGACUAUUCUGGGAACAUUUUUACUUAUGUCCUGCUUCGUUGUACUUUGAGUACUUGAGAUUGCUGGACACGUGAACUGUGACUUAGUGAGAUAUUCCAAAUUCAGCUAUGAAUUAUAUAAUUUUGUAAGAUUUUGAAUUUUAUUUUUAUUUAGGCUGUUUGUAUAGCCACUGAUUAUGUCUUCUAGUUUCUUUAAGUUUCUCAUCAUCUUUUUUUUUUUUUAGAUUUUAUUUAUUUAUUUGAAAGGCAGAACUACAGAGGUAGAGAGAGAGAGAGAAACCUUUAAUAUGCUGGUUCACUCCCCAGAUGACUGCAAUGGCUAGAGCUAAGCUGAUAUGAAGUCAGGUGCCAGGAGCUUCUUCUGGUUCUUCAAUGUGGGUGCAGGAGCUCAAGGCUUUGGACCAUCUUCUACUGCUUCCCCAGGUCAGAGCAGAGAGCUGGAUCAGAAGUGGAGAAGCUGGGACUUGAACUGGUGCCCAUAUGGGAUGCUGGCACUGCAGGCAGAGACUUUACCCACUACACCACAGUGCUGACACCAUGUCUUCUAAUUUCUAAGUAACUGCAUCAUAAUGAGGACCAUUGUAUAUGGUAGCAGUUAACAUGAUAGGCUUGAUGAUUUACACAGGGCUUAUACAUAUCAUUUACCCAUGAGAUUGUGUUCUAGAUUUAUGCAAACUUUGUAAGUUGAUUGGAGGUAGCCUUUUGUUACUGAUGAACAUUAAUGUGGUGAGAACAUUUUGUCCUUUAAAAAUAAAAUCCAAAUUAAGAUUAACACAUGAGUUUCCAUCUCCUUCAUCCACCAUAUUAAAGCAUUGAACUCCCAUUGAUUCCACAUGUAGAUCUCAAUGUAAUAUUUGCCUUUUCUUCAUUUUCACUGCCACAGUACCUCUGCAUGGAUCCUACUAAAUAAAGGUAAUUUAUUAUUAUAUAGACUAAUUUACCCCCUGUCUUUUAUUUUCCUUACCUUUGUGUCCAAAGCCUUUUGUGAUUCAGCCCACUCUCCCUGCCUGUAUCUGGUUGUUCAUUGCCUCUUACUUAAAUUUCUAGGGAAAUCAAUUGGCUGGUAGCUCUUUCCACAUACAACACAGAAGGUUGCUCAAUAAACGCUUAUUAAAUAAAUGAGUGGAAUGCCUUACAUAGGAAGGGUGAACAUUUGACCUGUUGGCCUGGAUGGUUCCUGUUUAUACACUUCAACCCUAAUUGUGACAGUCUUCAAAUAGAUUUCUAUUUCCUUGUUUCCUAUACUAGACAGUUCUUGGGGGUCACAACUCUUAUUUGCUUGUUUUUAUAUCCUCGUUUAUUCAUUGAACUGAGACUUACUCUGUCCAGAUGCUGAGUUAAUUUCAAGGCAAACAUGUUUCUUGCCCUCAUGAAAUUUUCAAUUUGGCAAGAAAGAGCAAUCUACCCAAAGAAUAUUGCCUGAUACAGUAAAGACUAGUGUGAAGCCAAUGGAUAAAUAUUUAAGCAUUCCUAAUGCAGCAACAAAUCUAAUCCCAUGAACUAUAAUUGACAGAAGCAAUCAUAAACAUAGAACUCCAUGUCAUCCAGUUAUCAAUUUGCAUUUCCACUUAAAUCAUACAUAUACCUAAGAUUGCAUAAUAUAUAUAUAUGCUAUCUUGAUAUUAAACAUAAAAAAAUGAAAAUGAUCAUGGAGUAAUAGCAACUUUGAAUUGCCUUCCUUUUUAGACAAGUUAUAAUCCUAUGUCGUUCUCUACAGUGUAGAUUAUUGUUGUAGGAACUCUUCCUCUCUCUCUCACUUUUUUUUUUAAAGAUUCAUUUAUUUAUUUGAAAGUCAGAGUUACACAGUGAGCAGGAGAGGCAGAGAGAGAGAGAGAGAGAGAGAGAGAGAGAGAGGUCUUUCAUCUGCUGGUUCACUCCCCAACUGGCUGUAAUGGCUGGAGCUGUGCCCAUCUAAAGUCAGGAGCCAGGAGCUUCUUCCAGGCCUCCCACAUGGGUGCAGGGAACCAAGGACUUGGGCCAUCUUCUACUGCUUUUCCAGACCAUAGCAGAGAGCUGGGUCCAAAGUGGAGCAGCUGGGACUCAAACCAGAGCCCAUAUGGGAUUCCAGCACUGCAGGAGGCAGCUUUACUUGCUUCACCACGGCACCAGCCUCCCUCGCUCUCACUUUUUUAUUUAGUUUUUUUUUUUUUUUUUUUUUUUUUUGGACAGGCAGAGUUAGACAGUGAGAGACAGAGAGAAAGAGACAGAGAGAAAGGUCUUCCUUUGCCAUUGGUUCACCCCCGAAUGGCCUCUGCGGCCGGUGCACUGUGGCUGGCGCACUGUGGCUGGUGCACUGCGCUGGUCCAAAACCAGGAGCCAGGUGCUUCCUCCUGGUCUCCCAUGCGAGUGCAGGGCCCAAGCACUUGGGCCAUCCUUCACUGCCUUCCCAGGCCACAGCAGGGAGCUGGACUGGAAGAGGAGCAACCGGAACAGAAGCCUGCACCCCCAACCGGGACUAGAACCCAGGGUGCUGGUGCCGCAGGUGGAGGAUUACGCCGGCCUCACUCUCACUUUUUUAACCCAGAUGACAAAUCCGGGGUUUUAGAAACUGAGCCCCAAGACAAAAGAAUUUCUUAGACCAAUAUUAUAUUUUAGUUGGCCUUUAACCUAGACCUUUUAAUGAUAUUGCCAUGGGCAAAUUCUAAACUCUUUGCACCUCAGUUUCCCCUUUGUGAACUCCUGAUCAUACUGUCUUCAGAAUUAAUCUAAUGUAUAAAUGCUAUGAGGUAAGGCAUUUGGUCACUUAAUCUUGCUCCUAGAAGACACUUAGCAAUGUUAGUUCUGUAUCCAGUUCUGUUGUUUGUUUCUAUGCUUGAGGAAUUAAAAGAGGUGUAAAAUGAUUUAAGAACUAUAAACAUCAAUAAACACAAAUAAAAGUUGUAUUAUCAAAUCUGCAUGUUAAACUAUACCCUCUACACCUCUGCUAAAAGGUAUAUUCCUUUCAUAAUCAUUUAUUAUUUGAAAGAGGUUUCCAGGAAGAAUGCAACCAGUAAGAUGUUCCUGGAAGAAGACAGAGGUUAUGAAGGAGCUAGGAUUUCGGAUUAGUUAGCAGAAGUGAGUGCCACUCUUUAAGAUUUUAUUCAGGAAAGAACACAACUGAUCAUUGAGAUUUUGGGGUGGGAAGGAAAAGAAGGAUGGAUAUGAACAGAAGCGAAUGCCCUCUGCUGGCCAGUAUUUCUCCAUCCACUCCACACUGAAGCCCUUGGGGAUCGCCAGCAGGUGUCUAGAAAUGCGCAGCCUGGACUCCAUUUCCCAGAGUCACCAGGUGCCCUGACGUAUUCUGCGUUCCGAAUGCCUGCGCGUGUGGACGUGGGAGUACCUGUGCCUGCAUUUGCGCAUGUCAGUGCCUGCCCUCUGGUGAAGAGUUGAGAACAGAGGAAGUUCAUUCACUGAUUGGAGUCAGCCAGAGAGGCCACGCUGCUCCUUCUCCCGCAUUCACUGCGGUUCUUGCUCUGCACUACAAUCCCAGGAAGUCUGCGGAAACACCCCAAGCCGCCACCCGCUGCUUCUGUGCCUCUUCAUCUGCAGCCUGUGGGUCCCACAUGCCGGGGACUUUAUCUGCCCCACACUCUCCGCUUUGGUCCCUAAGUGUCCUGAAGAAGGGGUACAUGCUCCCAGGACUUUUCCAUGGCAAGUAUGGUGCAGGGCCCAAGGACCUGGGCCAUCCUCCACUGCACUCCCGGGCCACAGCAGAGAGCUGGACUGGAAGAGGAGCAACCGGGACAGAAUUUGGCGCCCCAACAGGGACUAGAACCCAGGGUGCCAGCACCGCUCGUGGAGGAUUAGCCUAGUGAGCUGCGGCGCCAGCCAGAGUGGGUGUUUAGUGACUUCCUCAGGGUAUAUUUUAUAUACAAGACUAUGUGUUGAAUAAAUCAAGUCAACUUUGCUCUUUUCUUUGCA